ACGGGAGGCAGCAGUGGGGAAUCUUGCGCAAUGGGCGAAAGCCUGACGCAGCGACGCCGCGUGAGUGAUGAAGGCCUUCGGGUUGUAAAGCUCUGUGGAGAGGGAAGAAUAAGGGCGAGCUAAUACCUCGUCUGAUGACGGUACCUCUUUAGCAAGCACCGGCUAACUCUGUGCCAGCAGCCGCGGUAAGACAGAGGGUGCAAACGUUGUUCGGAAUUACUGGGCGUAAAGCGCGUGUAGGCGGCAGGGCAAGUCGGAUGUGAAAACCCACGGCUCAACCGUGGAAGUGCACCCGAUACUGCUCCGCUAGAGUCUCGGAGAGGAAGGUGGAAUGCUUGGUGUAGAGGUGAAAUUCGUAGAUAUCAAGCAGAACACCGGUGGCGAAGGCGGCCUUCUGGACGAUGACUGACGCUGAGACGCGAAAGCGUGGGGAGCAAACAGGAUUAGAUACCCUGGUA
rnacentral:rRNA from 1 species